rnacentral:rRNA from 1 species
GACGAACGCUGGCGGCGUGCUUAACACAUGCAAGUCGAACGGAAAGGCCCUGCUUUUGUGGGGUGCUCGAGUGGCGAACGGGUGAGUAAAACGUGAGUAACCUGCCCUUGACUUUGGGAUAACUUCAGGAAACUGGGGCUAAUACCGGAUAGGAGCUCCUGCUGCAUGGUGGGGGUUGGAAAGUUUCGGCGGUUGGGGAUGGACUCGCGGCUUAUCAGCUUGUUGGGGGGGUAGUGGAUUACCAAGGCUUUGACGGGUAGCCGGCCUGAGAGGGUGACCGGCCACAUUGGGCCUGCGAUACGCACCAGACUCCAACGGGAGGCAGCAGGGGGGAACAUUGCACAAUGGGCGGAAGCGUGAUGCAGCAAUGCCGCGUGCGGGAUGCCGGCUUUCGGGUUGUAAACCGCUUUCGCCUGUGACGAAGCGUGAGUGACGGUAAUUGGUAAAGAAGCACCGGCUAACUACGUG